UACAGAGGGCGCGAGCGUUGUCCGGAAUCACUGGGCGUAAAGAGCUCGUAGGCGGUUUGUCGCGUCUGCCGUGAAAGUCCGGGGCUCAACUCCGGAUCUGCGGUGGGUACGGGCAGACUAGAGUGAUGUAGGGGAGACUGGAAUUCCUGGUGUAGCGGUGAAAUGCGCAGAUAUCAGGAGGAACACCGAUGGCGAAGGCAGGUCUCUGGGCAUUAACUGACGCUGAGGAGCGAAAGCAUGGGGAGCGAACAGG
rnacentral:rRNA from 1 species